rnacentral:lncRNA from 1 species
UACUCUUGGCUUAGGAUCAUGAUGUGCUUUUGGAACAUUAACUUUAAAAGAAAGCAUAAAUAUCAGCCAGCUCCAUCUUUUCAUCAGAGAGAAGCUGAAGUGGAUGGACCAAGGCCACACACUAAGUCUCUCAAAUAUUGAUGAAGGGACAAGACCCUUUAGCCUUUCAGCCAACCUCUUCUACAAAUGCAUCGGAAGUUUUAAAAAUAUAAUGGAUCUUAUUCAUCUACAUGAUUGUCGAAAACCUUUAACCAAGUAGCUGCUAUUGUUUAAUAGAUUGUCAAAUUUUCUCACACUGAAGCUGCCCUAAGUUCUUAUAAUAUUCUUAAAAGUCUUCAACUUUCAAAACUUUUAUUUUUUAAUUUUGAGAUAAUAAUAAUAGAUUCACAUGCAGUUUUAAGAUGUUAUGCACAAGUUCCAUGAAAUUUUCACCUGGCUUACCUGAUGAUAACACCUUGCAAAAUUGUAGUAAAACAUCACAACCAGGGAAUUGACACAAACAUGAUCCACAAACCUUAUUUGGACUUUGCGAGUUUUACAGCAGUGUGUGUGUGUGUGUGUGUGUUUUCCUUAUGCAAUUUUAUCAUGAGUUGAUUGGUGUAAACACCAACCCAGUCAAGAUUUAGAACAGUUCCAUCACUGUAAGGAUCUCUGUUGCUGCCCUGUUAUAGCCUUGCCCACUUCUCUACCCCCCCUCUGAGCCUCCAUCCCUAACCUCUGACCUCUAAUCUGUUUGACCACUGCUAUACCCUACAUCACAAAGAUUUUCUCUUAUUUUUUUUCAUAAACUUUCAUUAUUUUACACUUAAAUCCAUGUUCUAUUUUGCGUUAAUAUUUGUAUAAGGUUUAACGUUUCGGUUGAGAUUCAUUGUUUUUUGUUGUUGUUGUUGUUGUUCAAUUUCUCCAGCAAAAAAUGUGUUUAAUUUCAACCUGUCAAUUUUUUUUCUUUCAUUCAGCAAACAUUUUUGUGAGAGGCUGUUAUGUAUGAGACACUGUUAGGCAGUAAAGACAAGAAAACUAGUAGAACACAGUCCUUUAAAAGAGUUCUAGUGUAACUGGGGAAUUACACAGAGAAAAACUUUCAAAUUUGUAGGUUAAAUUAUAAGAACGCACAGAGGACAAAACAUUGAAAGAUACAAGAGAAGAUGCCAGUGGGUAGGUGUAAGCUGUCACGAAAGCUUAGAUGAGAGAGAAUUAAAGCAGGAACAUAAAGACAAAAAGGAAGGAAGAGAAAUACUUGUGAGGAAAAUUGACCAGAGUCUUACGGAUGAUUUAGAGAGAAGGAACAAUGGAAAGUAGAUGGGUGGUUAUAUAUAAAAAGAUAGCAAAGAGGAGC